UGGGCUGGUGCCGCUGGGAGUAGGGGGGCUGUCGGGGGUACAGUCGUUCCGUCGCCGAGUGGCUGCCCCGGGCUCGGUGCUCCUUGUCCUGCCCGAAGGCUUGUGCUGUCCCCGUGCUGAAUGUGGAAGGUGUUGGGCGGGUGCUCUUCACUGAUGCUCUUCAGUACGAGUCUGCUGGGUCACGUACAUGUGACCCGGGCGGGGAGGACAGAAAAUGGAAUAAUCAAAACAGACAAGGUAUUUGAAGUAAUGCUGGCUACAGACCGUUGCCACUAUGCAAAAUACAACCCAUAUAUGGAUUCUCCACAGUCUAUAGGUUUCCAAGCAACAAUCAGUGCUCCACAUAUGCAUGCAUAUGCUCUUGAACUUCUGUCUGAUCAGUUACAUGAAGGAGCCAAAGCACUUGAUGUAGGAUCUGGAAGUGGAAUCCUGACAGCCUGCUUUUCACGAAUGGUUGGUCCCAAAGGACAAGUUGUAGGAAUUGAUCAUAUCAAAGAACUAGUAGAUGACUCAAUAAAUAAUGUCAAAAAAGAUGAUCCCACAUUGCUGUCUUCAGGAAGAGUGAAACUGAUUGUGGGAGAUGGAAGAAUGGGAUAUGCAGAAGAAGCUCCCUAUGAUGCGAUUCAUGUAGGAGCUGCAGCACCAGUUGUGCCCCAAGCACUUAUAGAUCAGUUAAAACCUGGCGGAAGAUUGAUAUUACCGGUUGGUCCUGCAGGGGGAAACCAGAUGCUGGAACAGUAUGACAAACUAGAAGAUGGCAGUGUCAAAAUGAAGCCUCUGAUGGGAGUGAUAUAUGUGCCUUUAACAGAUAAAGAGAAGCAGUGGUCCAGGUGGAAGUGAUUUUCUGUUCCACUUACAUCUUCCACACACACACGCAAGGUGAAAGGGUUUGAAUUUUAAGCAGAUAGACUGCAAGGCCUGCCUUUGCUGCUGUCGUUGCUUUCUGCCCCUCCAUACCAUGAAAAGUGACUCAGUCUGCAUUAUUAUAUCACCAAAAGGAGUUCAUGCUACAUUUGAGUUAAUUUAAAAGCAGAAUAAAAAUAUUGCAUGGGUUGCACUUUGCCUCUUUCGGACAUGUUUUCUUUAGUCUUUGGUGUGUUGAAGUUUCUUACUUGUUGUUUUGAACACAGUAUUUUCUAAAUUUAAACUGCCAUUCUAAUGAACUUUUUAUAACUAGCUUACCCAGUAAUUAGGGUAAAGUGUAAAACACUACUUAAGAAUAAACAUUAUUUUGAGCUGUAAGUUAGUGGUAGUUGGGUGAUCAUUUUUUAUUUUUCUGAAGUUUCACAAAUGAAGAAAAAUCUUUGUAGAAUCCUAUGUGGGAAAAAAGUCAGCCUCCAAGUAGCAGAGAGUGGAGAAUGCAAUCCCUUUUUCUCUACAAUACAAAUGAAGUUAAGUAGCGUUCAGAAAAUUUUCUCAGACAUUAUUAAAAGUCUGUCAUCUGUCUCUGAUAGGGACGUGUUUGUGUUUCCCAACACUGUGAUCUCUAAAGGCUUUUCUAGAGAUAGUGGUUGCUUUGGCUAAUGAGGGUGAUGAACCUACUGAAAGAAAAAUCACAACAAACUCACUGGAUGAAUUGUAAAAGCUACAUCAUCUUGACCCAAACAUAGUGUCACAGUGGACUGCUCAUCUCCAGUUCUAAAAGCUUUUUGAAAACCAACAGCAUUGCAGCUUGUUUUGGACUUCGUUAUACUGUUGUUAUCAGCAUGGAAAAGCGUGGUGUUUGUUUUAUAUUUUUUAGAUGCUCAAGGCAAAUCUGAUAAAGAAAUGGUGGAAAGUUUUAUUUAGGCACUGUUUAAUUUAACAUGCCUUUAUUUUACUUUCAUCUGUUCCAAGUGAAUGUCUGCAAAACAGCAGAUAAAGAGCUAUAGCUUGUGAACUCUAAUUUUGAUGGGGGUACUUGAACACUCACUUCUCUUGGCUCCUGUGUCCCUUGGUAAAACUGCUUCUGUGCACCUUAUGACACUACGUAGGUAAUACCAGGUUUUCUGUGUUCCAAUGUCUGCUAGAUGCUACUAAAAGGAGAUCAACUUCCUUUUUAAGCUUUUGACAUGGUGUCAUAGACUAGCAUGUAGUAGAUACAAUCAGCUGCUUUGUUACCUUAAAACCAGGCAUUUGUAUAUAUUAAACUUCAAGACAUCAGAGGUGGGUGGCUGCUCUUAUCAAACAUUGCUGUUCAAGUUGGACAAGACAUAGUUUCCCUUCUAAAAUUAAUUAGAGUCUUGAAAUUCUGUUUUGGUAGCUCACUAUUGAUGUGACGCAAAUGGAUCUGACUCCGUAAGUAUGAUUUAAGCUGUGUCCCAAUCACUGAACAGUUUGUGCAAUGCUGCUUUGCCAAAUAAAAUUAAAAGCAAAAGGGUGGUUGUGUGCUUGUGUGGAAGAUUAGGAUCAGUGUGUAGUAGAAUACUGAGAUAUGGAUUGCUAGAUUCUUUAUUAAAAAAUAAAUAAAUCCAGUUUGGUUCUGAAAAAAAGUUGCUCCUGGCAAAGCCAUUUGCUAUAUAAAUGUUUUUCUAACUGUGGUCACCCAGGAAAAAUUCUGGCUUUUUAAAAAGUGAAUUCUUAAUUGCUAUACAAGGAAAACAUGCAUACAGAGGGAAUAAUGAAUCCUGGAUUCGUAAGUACAGACAGCAAUGCAAUUGUUCCAUUUUUUAUAUAGAAGAGUAGUUAAAGUUCUAUAGACCUUUCUUCCCCAAGUUUUCUGUUUUGGUACUGUAAAAUGUCAACAGCAAAUUGCAAAGCAGUAAAGUGAGUGCUUUGGGAAAGGAGGGAAGUGUGUCCUGAGUCAUCUUCCUCAGAUUUGAGCAACCAGGAAUUAAAGUAAAUGGCAUGUUACAAUUUUUAUCUGUUUUUUUUCUUUCACGGUAAAAUAAUUUGUAUAAAACAACUCAUAUUGAUCAGUGCAAAAACAUAUUUGACUUUUUGUGGUGAAACAGCAUUAAUUUUGUGAUAGGAUUAAUCCCUGAAAGCAUAAAGGUUCAAAUUCAAAGGCCUCUGAAUAUGAAAGCAGAGCAUUUUAAAUAACUUUCCUUUUGAAGAUCAACCCCAUCCUAUUCUUGUGUAAAAGAAAUGCAUCAAUUUAUUUAAAUGCUUGGAAGUUAAUGUACUACCUCCUGAUCUGACUGCAGCCUGUGAGCCCAUACACAAAGAUUAAACUUAUAAAGGAAUUAAUAUAGCUUGUGUUCUAGAAGAUACAAUUCAGAAAAACCCACUUUCAUGUGACAAAUUUGUACUAACUCCACAAUCAACUGUGAAUCUAGUUCUUGGUGUUGAAGUGAAAUACCUUAAAUGAUGCAUGCUAAUGUUCAGCCUUCUGGUCACUGUUUCAUUUGAUUUGAGUUCAGCUUUAUUUACAUCUUCUCACUAAUUUAAUCAGUAGAGGAAAGAUAUGAGCUCAACUGUAUCCAAAGUCUUGACUCUGGUGGUAAAGCUGAGACCUGGCGACAGCUUUUCUGGGUUGAACCACUUCAGGAGAUGUAAGGCUUCAGGGACCAAGGCUGUUGGGAUUAGUGCACCCAUUCUAUUGAAGGGGUUGGUGGUAAUCCAGGUACUCAGACUGAAAGGAGUAUCCAGGAGUAGCAUUUAGGAAUUGGAAAACUAAAACCCUUCCAUGGUGGAGCAAUGGUUCCGAAGUAAAAGCUUCUUGGAGAAGUGGACAAGUUGAAAUGCAGAAGAUUUGAAGAGCUUGAAUAAAUGCUGUGUGAACUGUCUGAGUUGCAUACUUUGCCAAAUAAAACAAAUUGAGAGGAAGCUGUA